rnacentral:rRNA from 1 species
UACCAGCACCCCGAGUGGUCGGGACGAUUAUUGGGCCUAAAGCAUCCGUAGCCGGUUCUUUAAGUCCUCCGUUAAAUCCACCUGCUUAACAGAUGGGCUGCGGAGGAUACUAUAGAGCUAGGAGGCGGGAGAGGCAAGCGGUACUCAAUGGGUAGGGGUAAAAUCCGUUGAUCCAUUGAAGACCACCAGUGGCGAAGGCGGCUUGCCAGAACGCGCUCGACGGUGAGGGAUGAAAGCUGGGGGAGCAAACCGG